AUUGAACGCUGGCGGCAUGCUUUACACAUGCAAGUCGAACGGCAGCGCGGGCUUCGGCCUGGCGACGAGUGGCGAACGGGUGAGUAAUACAUCGGAACGUGCCCAGUAGUGGGGGAUAGCUCGGCGAAAGCCGGAUUAAUACCGCAUACGACCUGAGGGUGAAAGCGGGGGAUCUUCAGACCUCGCGCUAUUGGAGCGGCCGAUGGCAGAUUAGCUAGUUGGUGGGGUAAAGGCCUACCAAGGCGACGAUCUGUAGCUGGUCUGAGAGGACGACCAGCCACACUGGGACUGAGACACGGCCCAGACUCCUACGGGAGGCAGCAGUGGGGAAUUUUGGACAAUGGGCGAAAGCCUGAUCCAGCAAUGCCGCGUGUGUGAUGAAGGCCUUCGGGUUGUAAAGCACUUUUGGCGGGAACGAAAAGGACUGUGCCAAUACCACGGUUCGAUGACGGUACCCGCAGAAUAAGCACCGGCUAACUACGUG
rnacentral:rRNA from 1 species